rnacentral:rRNA from 1 species
AUUGAACGCUGGCGGCAGGCCUAACACAUGCAAGUCGAACGAGUGGCGGACGGGUGAGUAAUGUCUGGGAAACUGCCCGAUGGAGGGGGAUAACUCCUGGAAACGGUAGCUAAUACCGCAUACCAUCGGAUGUGCCCAGAUGGGAUUAGCUUGUAGGUGAGGUAACGGCUCACCGAGGCGACGAUCCCUAGCUGGUCUGAGAGGAUGACCAGCCACACGGGAAAUGAGACACGGGCCAGACUAGUACGGGAGGCAGCAGUGGGGAAUAGUGAACAAUGGGAGCAAGCCUGAUGCAGCCAUGCCGCGUGUAUGAAGAAGGCCUUCGGGUUGUAAAGUACGUGCAGCGGGGAGGCGUUACCCGCAGAAGAAGCACCGGCUAACUCCGUGCCAGCCGCCGCGGUAAUAC